AUCGCGUCUCAGCCUUUUGGCUAAGAUCAAGUGUAGUAACUGUUCUUUUUUUUUCUGGUUUUUAUUUAUUUUUGAAAGACAGAGAGAGGCAGUCCGAGCAGGGGAGGGUCAGAGAGAGAGGGAGACACAGAAUCUGAAGCAGGCUCCAGGCUCUGAGCCAGCUGUCAGUACAGAGCCCGAAGCGGGGCUUGAACCCAU
ensembl:snRNA U2 U2 spliceosomal RNA